AGGAUCAAGUCCUGAGUACUGCUUGUCUUCAGAUGAGGUAGUGACCAGGAAAUGCUCUGAUGAAAUAUUGAAAAGGACACACCAAGACCAGACUAUCUGCUGCCAGUCUGUCAAGUCUGCUUGUAUCCUGUGCUCCAAAUGGCCCUCCCCAGUCUGGCUCCAAAAAGAGAGUGCUUGUUACAAGAAAGAAUGGGCGCUACUACUGAUGUGAAGUACAAGAAAUGGACCCGUGAGCGCCAUCUGGUGGUCAUUUGAUGUUUGACUGACUUCUG